GUAGUCUGCAACUCGACUACAUGAAGCCGGAAUCGCUAGUAAUCGCGGAUCAGCAUGCCGCGGUGAAUACGUUCCCGGGCCUUGUACACACCGCCCGUCACACCAUGGGAGCCGGUAAUACCCGAAGUCAGUAGUCCAACCACGUGAGGACGCUGCCGAAGGUAGGAUUGGCGACUGGGGUGAAGUCGUAACAAGGUAAC
rnacentral:rRNA from 1 species